GACGAACGCUGGCGGCGUGCUUAACACAUGCAAGUCGAACGGAAAGGCCCUGCUUUUGUGCGGUGCUCGAGUGGCGAACGGGUGAGUAACACGUGAGUAACCUGCCCUUGACUUUGGGAUAACUUCAGGAAACUGGGGCUAAUACCGGAUAGGAGCUCCUGCUGCAUGGUGGGGGUUGGAAAGUUUCGGCGGUUGGGGAUGGACUCGCGGCUUAUCAGCUUGUUGGUGGGGUAGUGGCUUACCAAGGCUUUGACGGGUAGCCGGCCUGAGAGGGUGACCGGCCACAUUGGGACUGAGAUACGGCCCAGACUCCUACGGGAGGCAGCAGUGGGGAAUACUGCACAAUGGGCGGAAGCCUGAUGCAGCAACGCCGCGUGCGGGAUGACGGCCUUCGGGUUGUAAACCGCUUUCGCCUGUGACGAAGCGUGAGUGACGGUAAUGGGUAAAGAAGCACCGGCUAACUACGUG
rnacentral:rRNA from 1 species